rnacentral:rRNA from 1 species
GACGAGAGGUGCCAAGCGUUUAGGCGGAAUCACUGGGCUUAAAGCGUGUGUAGGCGGGUGCCUAAGUACCUUUUGAAAUCCCACGGCUCAACCGUGGAACGGCUGGGUAUACUGGGUGCCUUGGGUCAUCCGAGGGGCUGCCGGAACAAAUUGGUGGAGCGGUGAAAUGCGUAGAUAUCAUUGGAACGCCAACGGCGAAAGCAGGCAGCUGGGGAUGCACCGACGCUGAGACACGAAAGCCAGGGGAGGCGAACGGG